CCCAGUUCGUUUCUGAUUGAUUUUCAUUAAAUAGGUACGGUCAGAUUUCAAUCCUCUCUGGUCUGCCCAAAGUUCCAUUCGCUUCGUGUCUCUGGAUCUUCCAAGACUGGGUUUUUGGAUGCCCCGCUUCACACCAUCGGAUUCAAUAUUGGACACUUAACCCCAUAUAAUGUUGAAAUUAAACAACCAUUCAAGGUGCUGCAUGAAGGGGUAUUGGCUUUGAUAGCUGAGGGACUAGCAAGCAUAGGCGUGCACAUGGCUUCAGGUUUCCAGAGAGUGGUUGCUGAGAUCCACAUGCAUGAAGAGAUAACAACAUGCAACCUCUAUUCUUCCAGCCAAAAAUAGAGGACGACGUGUGAAGCCCAAAGCUAAUAUGAUCACUCCGUUCAGAGCACCACCUCCAUCAAAAGCACACCGACGACUUGGACAGCCACUGUAAGCCACCACCCAACCAUGUCAAGAGAAAUAUCAGAAGUUAGAAGAAUAAUUUAGGAGGAAUACGAUUGGAAUAUUGUGGCAUUAACCUCGCAUUAAUAGGCUUAAGAUGCAUUGUGUGGUUUCAAACUUUUAGUAAAAAACCUUUCGAACCUGCAAAACAAAUUCCCAACGAGGUGUAAUGGUGCAAAUCGGAAAGACAAACACAAAGUAGUGCUUCUAUGACCUUUUGAACCA